AGCGAACGCUGGCGGCAGGCCUAACACAUGCAAGUCGAACGGACCCUUCGGGGUUAGUGGCGGACGGGUGAGUAACACGUGGGAACGUGCCUUUAGGUUCGGAAUAGCUCCUGGAAACGGGUGGUAAUGCCGAAUGUGCCCUUCGGGGGAAAGAUUUAUCGCCUUUAGAGCGGCCCGCGUCUGAUUAGCUAGUUGGUGAGGUAAUGGCUCACCAAGGCGACGAUCAGUAGCUGGUCUGAGAGGAUGACCAGCCACAUUGGGACUGAGACACGGCCCAAACUCCUGCGGGAGGCAGCAGUGGGGAAUUUUGCGCAAUGGGCGAAAGCCUGACGCAGCCAUGCCGCGUGGAUGAUGAAGGUCUUAGGAUUGUAAAAUCCUUUCACCGGUGAAGAUAAUGACUGUAGCCAGAGAAGAAGCCCCGGCUAACUUCGUGCCAGCCGCCGCAGUAAAAC
rnacentral:rRNA from 1 species